rnacentral:lncRNA from 1 species
UUCACAUAUAGCUUCACAUAAAACUCAUUCACAUCAUUCCUUCACAUAUAGCUUCACAUAAAACUCAUUCACAUCAUUCCUUCACAUAUAGCUUCACAUAAAACUUUACAUAUAGCUUCAUAUAGGACUUUACAUAUAGCCUCAUAUGUGUAUAAUAAUACAACAAUAUAAUAACAUUCACAUAAUGCCCUUCAUGGCCUCAAUUCACAAUAAUACGACAAAUAACCA